rnacentral:lncRNA from 1 species
AGAAGUGGGGGAUUGGGAGCUGUCAACAUAUGAGCCAUCUUUUGCUCCGUUCAAGAUGGUAGGGGCAUUCUCAACAUGCCCCUCACUCUGAUUCUGCCUCACUUUUAUUUUAGAAUUUUCCACUGCCUUUUCUGGAAUGUGCUUUUUCAACCCUCAAAAUCUGUAGAGAAGAAAUAAGCAGAAACCGAAAUGGCUUUCUGGUGUUCUCCAUGCUCUCAGCUUACUGGAAAAUCGAGCCGCAGGCUCGAGGCUGGACUUUAAGGCAGAGCACUGCAAUUAUAGUGCUAUGGCCUUGGCUUCCUUUCUCAUCACCCAGGUACAGUCCUGCAGUCCUCAGAGGAUGCCAGUCCCACACAGGGGGAUCCUUCUCCAUAGGAAAACCGAGGAACAAUGCAGGUUCGAGGUGCACAGUGGCUAAGCACACUCAGUCCUCAAGAUCUUUCCUCUCAAAUGCUAAUGCUACCUUCAGAUGGGCUGCUGCCUGCUACCAUUUCAACAUUGAGUCCUUUAAGAUGCCAUCAGAGAGAGGGGAAGCAAGAGGCCAAGAAAAAUGAAAGGCCCUGCAUGUUUUUCUUCGGGAAGGCUGUGCAGUCUGCUCUGAGGAGACAGAUCAACCUAGCCCUUCUCCAGGACGAACUCCGAAAACCACAGGAAUUCACGUUCAAAGGAUGACGCAUCUCAGAAUCAGGUGGCCUUUAGUGAGCCAGUGGCUCGGAUUUAUGUGGUCAGAUUCUGAGCCGGCAGACACAAGGACAAGCCAGCGAGAGGUGUGGCAGGACUGGAGAUUCUGUGUAGUGAAUUUUAGGAAAAUGACUCGAUAACUGCAACGGUGAUGUCAUGUGUGUGUCUACUUUAGAGAGCAGAUGGUCGAUCUGGUGCUAAUUUGCCCAAUACGGUAGCUACGCGGCAAUGAAAUUCCAAAACUGGCACAAGGCGGGCCUGGUUCCAGGGAUCACUGGAUCUAAAAGAAAAAAAUCCAAUGAAUGAUGCAUCCCACUGGCAUUCCAAAGAGCAAGUAAACAAAAGAAAUUAUGGGUUUGGGCUCAGAAACCCCAACCCUUGAGAUUUCAGAAAACAAAACGACUCAUUGGCAAGAGGCACUGUAACGACUCAGGUUCAAAUCCCACCUCUGUUAUUUACCAAUUGCAUAACUUUCAGCUUCAGUGUGACCUGACCCUGAGCUUUCCAAUCCAAAAAUAGAA